rnacentral:rRNA from 1 species
GACGAACGCUGGCGGCGUGCUUAACACAUGCAAGUCGAACGAAGAGCGACGGAAGCUUGCUUCUAUCAAUCUUAGUGGCGAACGGGUGAGUAACGCGUAAUCAACCUGCCCUUCAGAGGGGGACAACAGUUGGAAACGACUGCUAAUACCGCAUACGAUCUAACCUCGGCAUCGAGGAUAGAUGAAAGGUGGCCUCUACAGGUAAGCUAUCACUGAAGGAGGGGAUUGCGUCUGAUUAGCUAGUUGGAGGGGUAACGGCCCACCAAGGCGAUGAUCAGUAGCCGGUCUGAGAGGAUGAACGGCCACAUUGGGACUGAGACACGGCCCAGACUCCUACGGGAGGCAGCAGGGGGGAAUCUUCCGCAAUGGACGAAAGUCUGACGGAGCAACGCCGCGGGAGGGAUGACGGCCUUCGGGUUGUAAAGCUCUGUUAAUCGGGACGAAAGGCCUUCUUGCGAAUAGUGAGAAGGAUUGACGGUACCGGAAUAGAAAGCCACGGCUAACUACGUG